GAUGAACGCUGGCGGCGUGCCUAAUACAUGCCAGUCGAGCGAACAGAUGAGGAGCUUGCUCCUCUGACGUUAGCGGCGGACGGGUGAGUAACACGUGGAUAACCUACCUAUAAGACUGGGAUAACUUCGGGAAACCGGAGCUAAUACCGGAUAAUAUAUUGAACCUCAUGGUUCAAUAGUGAAAGACGGUUUUGCUGUCACUUAUAGAUGGAUCCGCGCCGCAUUAGCUAGUUGGUAAGGUAACGGCUUACCAAGGCAACGAUGCGUAGCCGACCUGAGAGGGUGAUCGGCCACACUGGAACUGAGACACGGUCCAGACUCCUACGGGAGGCAGCAGUAGGGAAUCUUCCGCAAUGGGCGAAAGACUGACGGAGCAACGCCGCGUGAGUGAUGAAGGUCUUCGGAUCGUAAAACUCUGUUAUUAGGGAAGAACAAAUGUGUAAGUAACUAUGCACGUCUUGACGGUACCUAAUCAGAAAGCCACGGCUAACUACGUG
rnacentral:rRNA from 1 species